rnacentral:tRNA from 1 species
GGGGUUGUAGUUAAAUUAACAUUUAAUUUGCAAUUAAAAGAUGCCUACAUGCUACAAUGGCCUACCUCA